rnacentral:lncRNA from 1 species
CGACCUGGUUUCAUGAUUCCUGUGACACAUCUCAACACAUGCUUACCAUUGGACUUCAAGGUAAGAGUUAAAUCUUUAAAAGAAAGCUCUAAGAGAGGUCUCUUCCUCGUCUCAGUAUUAGUAGCCAUUGAAACUAUUCCUGAAAAGGUAAGAUUCUUAUUCUCUUGCUCCAUGGCUUUCUCCUUCUCAAUCCGAUCAUACGCAUACUUGAAGAUUUGGCUGCGCGUUUUCUUAGUUUUGGCCAAAUUCUGUCUUUUUACUCUCUUUCCUUCUAUUUCAAGACUUGCUCUUCCAUUACUUACGGCGGCUGCAUCAUCUUCGAUCUCAUAACUAGAUUGCGCAGCAGAGGAACUCGCAGGACUUGAAUAUUUUGACAUGUCUAUAUCUUCAUCUAUCUCAGAAGAGUCCCCAGGACCCAACAUCUUGUGGCUAUCCCCAUCCUGACUGGAUUUUUUACCUGAAAAUGUCCGACUUAUUUGCGCACGGAUCUCACUUACAUGCUUUUUUGCAGCCUCUCUAGCAGCUUUCCAUCUCUGAUGAGCUUUCGCUUUCUUCACUGCUGCUUCUCUUGAUUUCGCCUGCCUCCUUUCCCUCGUCGUUAGGAUUUGAUCGGAACAAUUGUAGAUAAUGAGUAGAAUAGUACUCACUGCAGCCUGCACAAACAAAUUGAACGCCACUAAGAUUUUAGUGGAAAAUCUUAGUCUUGGGUAUUCAAUAAUAACUGAAAAAACUUACGAUAACCAUAACCCCAAAUGCAUGCAUGUUCUGAUUUGCUGUGUUGGGAUUGCAGGACGUUAACUUAAAGCAGGCUGCAAAAGACAAGACUUACUUAAUAGAUUAAAAGACUAGCAGAUGGAACUAGUAAACAUUACUUGGUUAUGUGACAACAAGCAAUCAUGAAUAUUAGAUGACGUACGUUUCUCAGAUGUCGACCCCAUUCUGCAAUAGUGCCUAAAUCAACAUUAAAGGUAUAACCAGUUAAACUAUAAACAGUUUGAAACAGAAUAUGAUUCUCAGCUAGAUCAUUAAUUUGAUAUAGCAUAGUAAGUAGUAACACAAGGUUGACGAAAUAUUUUCAAGAUCAAAUGGAGUUUAAGGGGACCAAAAAAUGAAUACCCACUAUCGCAAGGUACUUUAUGAGUGGUGGUUGGACAAUACGACCCUGCGGAACAGAAUACUUCACCGCUGGAUCUAAUGUCGGCCCAUACAUUCGCACCUCCACAAGUGUGGUUCGGUCGUCCUGGUGGUAAUUGAUAAGUAUACCUAUAGAUUUGACAGUUUAACAUCUUUAUCUUAUCCCGCAAUAAUAUCACAUUAGUAUAUUUUGCAUCUAAGAUGGAAUAAAAAACUUACGGUUCACAUAAGCUUGUAGUCUUAUUAAGGGUAGCUAAGGGACAAUGAGCACCAAGAGGACAAGCUUUUCAAAACAGAACAAAAAUUCAGAAACAGUGUUAGUUAAACCAUAUAGAUAACUAAGAUGAGAAAAGCUUAUAAACCAUGAAGGCGUUAUGAAUUGCUUACGUAUCAUACAGGUGAGGCCACGAGGGCAGAAAAACCCUUCACAGCAAGCCAUACAGUUUUCUGUUCUUCCAGGAAACUCUUUGGAGUUUUGCAGGUCAACUUGUUCGUUUGGAUCAACACUACAGCCCCAUCCAGGUUCGCAGCCAGAGGGCCAUGAAGUCAAGUUGCAAUUUACAUUUGGUUGCAAGUGGCCCGGGUCAUUCGAUUUAUUGAAAAAUGUAUUAAAAUAGAACUUCAUCUCUGCUGCUGUACAGAUACGCCUAUUAAUAUCACCUGUUACAAACCCAAAAUGUGAACACAUGAAAAAGAUAUGAAAAUUAUGUCAUCAGAUUAACUCCAAGAACCAUAAGAAACAUGAGAAUUUUGCAACAACAAUAUUUGAUGUUCCUAUAAAAACAUUACAUCGCCGCUCUUCCAUCUUGUUUUAACAACCAAGUAAUAGUCAGUACCUUUGGUUAUCUGAAUGCAAGCAGAUAAGAAGUCUAAGUUGGUGGAGAAGUUAAACGCUCUGUUCCAAUCAGCAUCCCUGAGAUUGUGAUUUCAACAAAAGAAUAAAAUAUCUCACAAGACUUACGUAAGCUAAAAGAAAUAUUUCACCUAAAGCACCUACAGUUAAGCAAGUGAAGCUAUCAAUGCAUGAACUAUACUAAGAUCAAAGAAUUGAAAGUUCCACAGUGAUACAAGUCUACAAAAUUAGAAAUCAAAACAAAGCAAAUAAAGUGCCAGAUUGCAGUUUAAGAGAAAGAAGACUGACGGGUCUUUGACGCAAAACUUUGCUCUGGUACCGAGCUCACGAUUAAGAGCAGCAGUGCUAUUAGAAAGCUUGCGGUAAACCAUCUGUGUAACGAGUGGAAGAACAGCUGGAUUAUCGAACUCACUGGUGUCCCCAAUAGUUUGACCAUUACCAACAUUAACAUAACAAACCAACCACAGAAGCAAGAUCACCAAUCUGAGAUUAGAUCCAAGUUUGAGCCAACUUUGCCGGUUCACGCUCAUCUUGAGAUUCAAAAGCCUUAAAGGACACAUAACAGAAAGUGAAUAAAUCAGAUGCAAGAUAACAACCAACAAAUACAUAAACAACCUUGCUUGAUUUAUCAAAAGAGAAGGCUUUUUCAAUUUUUAAAAUGAAACGUUUGAGACAUUGUGAUUUGUGAAUGGAGAGGGAAGAAACGUGAAGGAAGUUGGAGAAACGAUGGUGCAAAUACCAAAACGGUGAUCUGCUUAGUGUACGACGAACGUGACUGAACAAUGUGAAAAACGACCCAUCUUAAUUUCAUUAAUCAAUUGUUAAGCUUGAUUUUGGGGUUUACUACAUAAAGGUUGAGUCUGUUCUUUUGUCUUAUCACAUUACAUUACAAUUAAGCAGAAACGAACUCCAAAACAAUCUAAUUGAAGAAAUUAAGAACCCAGAAACUUAAAGUUGCUUGCUUUGUCUCCAGAUCACAUCAAACCCCAUCACAAAAAUUGCAAGUUUUGAUUUUUCUUUCUUAGAUUCUAGAACUCAAAUCACCCUAAACUCCAUAGACUAAAGGAACUAAACCAGGAUUCAAUGGAAGAGAAAGAAAAGAAACGUACAUUGUGACUUGUGAGGCGUUGAAGUUCAUGACUUGGGAGCUGGAGAAUCCAUGAAAAUAAAUAAUGAAGUUGCCAAAUUCUCGGGGAAGCUUAUUAAAGUAGUAGGGGUCUACAAAUCUUGAGAUAAGCAGAUUAAUCUGCCAUCAUUGUUGUCAUUGACCUCGAUAAGAAGGAAGAAGGAAGAAGAAGAGAGUGCGUUGAAUGAUUCAUUAGGACAAGGAAAGAACAUGUAGACCUAUUUAUAAUUACAGUUAACUAAAUCGAUAAAAAGCAUCAACCUUUACUGUUGAUUAAGGAAUAUAGAUAUUUUCUUUCUAAGUAAAAUGAUAUAAAAUAUGUUGUAAUGUGGCAAUAUGCCCAAAUAUAUUGUUGCAUAGAAAAUACAAUUUCCGUAAUUUUAGUAUCAAAAAUGCAGAUUUCUCUUCAUAUUAAAUAUAAACAAAAAAAAAUUAUGUAAAGAAGUCAUUUCAAAAUUUUAAUCCUGACAUCUUGUACAUAAAUUGUAAUUCACUAUUCUAUAUAAUUUGUAGAAUAAUAAUAGUAAUAAUUUGAUUUCAUGACUAUAAAUUAUUACACAAUAGAGAAAAUUUGAAUAUUCGUCAUCUCAUCAAUCAUCAUGAAGAAUUAAAAUUUAGGACACUUGCGGAUUCGUCCGUAUGUUUACAACCGACUGGUCCCAUGGUUUAAUGAAUUUUGCUGACCCAAAAUUUUGAAGACAGGAAAACACUGAAAUUUUAUUUUUUUUUAAAAUAUCAAAAGGAUGACUUUGUUCAUUUGGAAUGCAUUUAUUUUUGGCCAAGACCGUUUAAACAAUGAUGGAGCUUUAUACUAGUAAUCAAGAUGAACAAAACUAUAGUCUUCUUCUACCGAGGCAGCUUCAGAUUCUUGGGAACUAUAUAUAUAAGUGCAGGUAAAAGCCGUAAAGGGAGACGAUCUUUCACUACUUCUUUUGAAGUAUGAUCAUCCCCGCAAAGGCAAUUCCACGAGUGGCCACACCUAUGAGAAGCAAUAUCAUUAUACACAAAUUCCAGUUGUUUAUGUCGUAGCCACUCUCGAUAAGCAUACCACAUCGCGUAAUCAUCCAUACUCCAUAGUACCUGAAAUCCACUAUAUGAAUCAAAACAGAGCUUUUGAAAGGCUACUUCUUUAUCCUUUUGUUCCAACGUACCUUUGAGCAUUUCCUAUUACAAAUGCCUCCAAAGCCCACUUUGGAUAACUCAAAUCAGCCAGGAUCCUAAUAGCUUCAUUAUUCUUCGUAGGUUGGGUUGCAACAAGUGUUAAAACGACUGGAAUAAGAGCAGAAAACUGCAAAAACAAACAAAAUCCCCAAAAGUUGGUCGACUAGAAUGAAUAGAGAGCAUGCAUGUGGUUCUUUCUUCAAAAGGAAACUUAAAAAUAAAACUCACCAGUUGGGCUGUGCUUGGUUGGAGAAAGAUAGCCAACACAUAUGCAAUACCGGUCACACAAUAUACGAGGCAGACCAAAACGAUAUAGGUAUCGAAAAAUGUGGAUCUCGGAUUUGUAAAAAAAUAGAACAUAGAGAGAUAGACCAAUGGCUUGACAAAUAUAUUGAAAGAGUCUAUUGUAUCUUUGGCAAGGAAGCAGGCCAAGCUACUCAUCCCCGAGGCACUUUCUCUCCAGUAAUGUAACUUGUCUAGUGAGAAUGAUCUCAAAGCUGCUAUUUUGCAAAGAAGAGCUGACAGAAAAAAAAGAAGAAGAAAAAAGCAAACGAUAAUCAGAUUUAUAAGAAACUUCUCAGGACUAGAUUAAUAGAGGAUCCAACUUACAGACUGCGAUCGUAGUUUGGGUGUAACCAGGGAUUCCAAAGCUCUCAUCAUUUGCUUUAUUAAGUAAUCCUAAACAAACUCCAGCAAGCAACAAUAUCAUAUAGUCUGUGGCUUGUAAUGUAGCUUCUCUCAUUCGCUGCUUAGCUAUCCUGAAAUCAAGAACAUUGUUCUGCUUUAUUCGGACAUCCAAGAAUCAAUUCAUCGUAACUAAGUCGUGGAAGAAGCAAACCUUCCAAGGAAAUAUUUGUAUUGUUGCAACAUAAGAGGGGUUCUUCUAUGGGAUAAAUCUCUAGACUUCAAGAAGUUAUGCCGUAUUAUAGGAUUCGUUUCAAUAUCUGAUGGAACAGAGUAACCUUUGUGACGAUUCCACCUUUCAGGAAGCUCUUUGUAACCAACAGAAUCCCCCAUUGACGUCACAAUGCCUUCAAGAACGUCUAUGUAAUAGUCAGGAGGAUUGAUACGGUCUGGAACAUUUAUUCCCAACCCUGAGAAGUAUUCUUCGACUUCGUCAACUGAUCCAUGGUAAACAGUAAGGCCACCUUUCGCGAGAAGUACUAGAUCAUUGAACGUUUUGAACAAAGUAUAACUGCAACAAAGAAACAUGAAUUAAAAACUUCAUGGUAAAGAUAUUUCCCUAAAGCAAAACUUGUGUUUCAAGAUACCUUGGUUGGUGAACAACCAUGCAAAUAUUGACUCCCUCGAGGGCCUCAUGCCGAAGUGCUCUAAGAAGAAGUUGUGAUGAGGCACUAUCUAAGCCAGAAGUAGGCUCAUCCAAGAAUAAAACCGAAGGCUCCAUUACCAUUUCUAAACCCACAUUGACUCGUUUCUUCUGCCCACCUGAGAUUCCUCGCUUCUCUACUGUACCAACUAAAGAGUUCCUCACAGCUUGCAGCCCCAAAGAGUCAAUGAUUCUUUCAACCACAAGAACUUUGUCUGCUUUCGAUAGACCCGCAGGUAAUCUGCAUUUAGCAUGGAACCAAAAAUUUUCUUCUACUGUCAAGUUUCCAUGAACAACGUCAUCUUGUGGCACGAAACCAAUAAUCUUUUUAUACGAAUGGAUUGAAUCCGGUUUCCCGUUUAUAAGCAUCGAACCACUCAAUUUGCAUCCAACAGCUUUCCCAGCCAAAGCGUUAAGAAGACUUGUCUUCCCUGCUCCUGAUGGACCCAUCACAGCUGUGAUCCGACCAGGUUGCAUGGUUCCUGUGACACAUCUCAACACAUGCUUACCAUUGGACUUCAAAGUAAGAGUCAAAUCUUUAAAAGAAAGCUCUAAGAGAGGUCUCUUCCUCGUCUCAGUAUUAGUAGCCAUUGAAACUAUUCCUGAGAAGUUCAUAUUACUAUUCUCUUGCUCCAUGGAUUUCUCCUUCUCGAUCCGAUCAUACGCAUACUUGUAGAUUUGGGUGCGUGUUUUUUUAGUUUUAGGCAA